GUGGUACCGUCAACACAUGGCAGUAUUAACACCAUAUGACUUCUUCCCACUUGACAGAGCUUUACGACCCGAAAGCCUUCAUCACUCACGCGGCGUUGCUGCGUCAGGGUUUCCCCCAUUGCGCAAAAUUCCU
rnacentral:rRNA from 1 species